rnacentral:rRNA from 1 species
UACAGAGGGGGGCAAGCGUUGUUCGGAAUCACUGGGCGUAAAGCGCGUGUAGGCGGCUAUCUAAGUCUGAUGUGAAAUCCCCAGGCUCAACUUGGGAACUGCGUCCGAUACUGGAUGGCUUGAAUUCGGGAGAGGGAUGCAGAAUUCCAGGUGUAGCGGUGAAAUGCGUAGAUAUCUGGAGGAAUACCGGUGGCGAAGGCGGCAUCCUGGGACCGAGAUUGACACUGAUGAGCGAAAGCCAGGGGAGCAAACGGG